UGAUCACUAACGUGGCGGGAGCAGGAGACAUAGUGAGGACGAACGUGAAAGGUUCACGGACUGGUUGGAUGAGUUUGAGCAGAAACUGGGGUCAGAACUGGCAAUCUAACGCUGUUUUGGUUGGUCAGUCACUUUCUUUCCGUGUCACAGGCAGUGACCGUAGAACCUCUACUUCAUGGAACAUUGUUCCUUCUAACUGGCAGUUUGGUCAAACAUUUGUCGGGAAGAAUUUCAGGGUCUAAAAGCGAGUUUCGAGACGGAAGAAAACUCUCCGCCAAUUUCGCUUUUUUUUUUUUUUGGGUUCAAAUAUAUGGAAAGGAGAGAAAGGUAUGGGGAACAACAGUAUCUUUGACUUUUGUGUGUGUUUGUUUCCUUUUUAGUUUUUAUUUUAUUUUGGGGUUUGGUGUUUUAGUUGUGAAGGGGGAGAGAGAGUGAGAAAGAGGAGUUGAAGUGGCUGCGAGAAAAUUUUGUAACAGCCCGCAACUACUUUAAGUAUUUUACAAUGGUUGGGUUGUUGUAAGCUACAACUUGUAACGUUUAAUUUCAUGUAAUCUAAAUCAUGGUUGUGUUAGACUGUUAGUACUCAUCCUCUGGUUUGUUUUUAACUAGCCAAUUACAAAAGAGUUACUCUAGGAGUAAGUGUGAAGUUAAUGCACGUUAGUGAUAGAUCCACGGGGAUCCCACUUAGGAUUUGGUAACGAGAAACAAGAAUAAUUCAAUGGCUAUAGGUGUAAAUGCCUUUAAUGAGUGGGAACUGUUUUUUUGACCGAUGAAUUAAAAAAGUAAAUAAUAAAAGUAUUUCCCGACAGCAUUUGAUGCAAACGUAACAUAAGUCUACACUUGCUAUUCAUUUUUCGGGACUUUUUCUUUUGGUGAUAUGAACGGAGCAUGUCUUCUCCACUUAUAAAUUUAGAUAAAGUUAAUUAUUCACUUCCAUUAUAAGUACAUUUUAAUUGUUUUGUACUAUUACUCAAUUUACCAUGAAAGUAUUUGUGUAAACACUAUUCUAUUCUACAUUACAAUGGCAAUAGAUGACGAAAAUCGUGGCCAUAUGUUUAACUCUCUACCAUUUUUGCUAUAUACACUUUUGAUAUUUCUCUUGAAACGUCCCAUAACCAUGGUCCCUGACCGUGAUAACUCGCUGUAGAUCCAUUCCUUCAGAGAUUCAUUGUCAUCUGUGACAUCUUUCAUGUGCCAUGCAGAAGCUGUAGAACCACAAUCUUUUUCUUGCUCAAAACACCACGUAAGCUUCUAAUUACACUACUACUACUACUACAAAUAAGAACCUCCAUCACAGAUUCACAGUAGAGGUUACUUUCAGGUGUUUAUCUGAUUUUCAGUUAGAUUCUUACUGACAUAAUAGUGAAUAAUCACAAUAGCCAUUACUGAACAAUACAACUGCCUCAUAAUGCUCUCUCUAUAGUCUAUACAGAGAAAAUAACUUGAUGGAAGAUAACCAAAGCUGCUUUGUAUAGUUUACAACUCUAUAUCGACCAUUGAGUAUAUUCAAAUAAAAAUGCAUCCUAAGGAAGAUGUAUGAUAAGUCAGGUAAGCCUUUUGAAGUGCAUUUUCAAAUUUUAUGGAUUUAAAUCUUUUAAUAUCAUUCACUGAAUAACAAUUCUUUAAAUUUGCUCACUCGUCGCUGGAGUAUACACAUCAUAGACAUAAGCCUAAUCUAUAAAGCCAAGUCCUCACUUCUCUAACGUACUUUUUCAGUCCCUUCAUCCUCAGAGCACUGACCAACCCAAAAGGCAAAGUUUCACUUGAACCAAGUCUCCUCUUCAAAGCCAUUCAAUUGGCAAAACAGGAGAUGUGUCCAAUCCAGGACAUCAACAAGAAACAGCUUCUUCUGCCUCUGGCUUAGACUCUUGACCAUCCGUCUCAGCUAGUAAAGGGCUUUUCUGGAACUUAUUCCUCAGCUGACCACAAGCAGCAUUCGCUUCAAGCCCUCUUGUUUGCCUCACGCUUGCUGUUAUCUUACGCGACUCCAAUGCAGCCGCAAAGGCCAGGACCUGCACGAUCCAUUAACUAAAGAGAUUAGAGACUUACUGCAGCCAAAGUACAGACCAAACCGAAGACAGAAGGCUCAGGCCUAAUUGUUAUCAACAUACCGCUUUCUUGUAAGGUCGCUUGUACUCUGAUCCUUCAAUAGGGUUGUAAGGUAUCAAGUUUACGUGAUACGUUUUGCCCCAUUCACGUAGUAGCUCCGCGAGUUCUAAAGCGUUCUCAACUGAAUCAUUGACUCCAGCUGCAUCAUCAUUUACCAGCUUGUGUUAAAGUUAAAAUGAUAUAAACGAAGGAGAAAAAACAUUAAAGUUAGCUUAUCUCAAGUCUCAGUCACACACCUAGAAGAGCAUAUUCGAAGGAGACUCGUCUAUUAGUUUCUUGAAAGUAAUCACGACAAUCACUCAUAAUUGCUUCCAGAGGAUAAGCCUUGGCACUUGGUACAAUCUUCUCCCGGAGACUCUGGUUUGGAGCAUGUAAGCUGAUUGGCCAGAAGAAAAGUGAGUGAACAAUAUAAAAGAUCUGGCAAUUGAAGAAAGAAGAAGCACCUGACAGCUAAGGUGGACUGAAGCUUAUGAGCGGCAAGCUUUUUGAUUGUGUUUGGAACACCAACUGUCGAUAUUGUAAUCAUUCGUUGUCCGAUUUCAAUGUCCUGAAUGUAAAAGAAAAGCAUACCAAGAGUGACUGCUAUGUCUUAUUGUUCAACUCAAUAUCUCUACACAAGAUAUAAACGAGAAAAUCAAGUUCAACUAGUUUACAACUUACAGUCAUACUAAUCCAUCAAACAUGAUUUUUUUUUUAAUAUUCAAGCAGUUGUCUUGGCUUGUGGAUUUAUUCACUUAGCAAGGAACUUCAUUGAUUUCUAUACAGAACCAUGUAGAUAUGGAACAUGACAAAGGGCAAAAGUUACCUUGUUUAAACAACGAUGAGCAUCUAGCACUGACUUUAGGUUCAACAUGGGCUCACCCAUUCCCAUGAAAACCACAUUUGUCACUCUGUGCUUGAACACAUCCUCAAUAGCAAGCACCUAGAAGAUUUAAAACCACACUUGAAAAUUCAAAGCCACAUUUACAUGGGAUCAAAUCAUCAAACGACUACUCUUCUUGAAAGUGUUGUAUAGAGUAUUCUACUUAAGAUUUUAUGCAAAAGUAUUUUAUCUUGGAACCAAAACUCCAAUUCAUAAAUCUGUAUCGUGCACUCUUUUUCAUUAUCAUUCCAUAAGUAUAUUUCAUUUACCUAAUCCAUAAGCUGAAAAAAGAUGUGAUAUAAAACUAAACCUGCUCAAUGAUUUCAUGUCUCUGAAGAUUUCUUGAAAACCCUCCUUUCCCCGUAGCACAAAACGAGCAACGCAGAGGACAUCCAACCUAAAGCAAAGAGCUUCAAAACAUCAACUAUGCAAACAAAAACACACACACAAAUCUAUAAACUACAAGAAAGUACAAUUCACCUGGGAAGAGACACAGGCAGUAAGGCGCGUUAUGCCCUUCUCUUCCUGGACCGGUAUACCAACAGUUUCAAUCAACAGGUUAUCUUCAAGCUUCAACAGCAGCUAUAAAGAUAAAAACAACAUAACACAAAACAUCAGUGUCCAAAAACCAGUCUAGGCGGCGACUAAAAGGCAAAUCGGGUCUGAACCAAUCCAGAAUAUUUUUUUAAUAAAAUUGGUCUAGAGGCCGCCCAAACAAUAAUCUUCUAUAAGACGCCUAACCACCACCUAGCAAUUUCUAGAACAUUGCAAAACAUUGAAAACCGUAGACAUCAAUCAAACAAAAACAUGAGUAAGCCAUCAGUUAUGUUGAAGUACCUUGAUGGUACCAUCAGUGGCAGUAACAGUUUGGUAUAUGGGUGAUCUUCCCACCUUGUAUCCACUUUCCACUAGCUCUUUUCUAAACGUUUGUGGCACUAUCAUAAUCAAAGAUUGGUUAAAUCAUAUCUGCACACAUGUCUAAAAAAGAAAGCUAAAUCAUUUGCUCACAGUUACUAAAGUCUUCAACUUGUUUAGCCUUCCUCUUGUAGAUAAGAUGAUGAAGCUGCUUCCCUCUGUAACCUUCCUGCAAAACAAUUUCACCGUAAAGUCAGAAACUUUUCUCAAACUUUCUUGUUUCUAAAAUCAUAAAGUUGGAUGCUUUACUUGACCGAGUUUGAUAGCGAGCUGUUGAAGCUCCGGCUCCGACAUCCCGAGGAGGACCUGAGAGUCCACGUGCAUUAAAAACCAAUCUUUGGAAAACCCAGUGGGACAAAACCAAAGAUAGGGAAAAAGAGCACACAUAUGUUACUUGCUCAUUUGAUGUCUAUCUUGGAGCUGAGAUGGCUUGAAUUGUGGCAAGUGUGUCUUGGUUGAUCAAGCUUCUUCCAAGACUCUCUUCUUGCUUCAGUGAUAUCUUAAGUAAUCCUCCAAUGGCUUCAUUGAGUUGCUUGCUUCUGGCUCGAGUCAUAGGACCUUCAGAUAUGAUUUACAACAAAAUAGUAUGUUUAUCUAUGAUAAAAAAAAUGCAACUAUGGAUUUAGUUUAUUAGGUGUUCUCUAAUGCACUAAUCCAUAAAUUAAAUUCUCUUAAAUUUUGCUUGACAUGUAAAAUAUGAGUGAUUAGACGAGUGUUAAACAAAUGUUGGUCCUUGGAUUUUGUAGGGUGCCUUGUAGAAAGAGAGGAGGGAUAAGGUUCACAAUAAACGGUCACCGUUACUUCAACUUGGUUCUGAUCACUAACGUGGCGGGAGCAGGAGACAUAGUGAGGACGAACGUGAAAGGUUCACGGACUGGUUGGAUGAGUUUGAGCAGAAACUGGGGUCAGAACUGGCAAUCUAACGCUGUUUUGGUUGGUCAGUCACUUUCUUUCCGCGUUACAGGCAGUGACCGUAGAACCUCUACUUCAUGGAACAUUGUUCCUUCUAACUGGCAGUUUGGUCAAACAUUUGUCGGGAAGAAUUUCAGGGUCUAAAAGCGAGUUUCGAGACGGAAGAAAACUCUCCGCCAAUUUCGCUUUUUUUUUUUUUGGGUUCAAAUAUAUGGAAAGGAGAGAAAGGUAUGGGGAACAACAGUAUCUUUGACUUUUGUGUGUGUUUGUUUCCUUUUUAGUUUUUAUUUUAUUUUGGGGUUUGGUGUUUUAGUUGUGAAGGGGGAGAGAGAGUGAGAAAGAGGAGUUGAAGUGGCUGUGAGAAAAUUUUGUAACAGCCCGCAACUACUUCAAGUAUUUUACAAUGGUUGGGUUGUUGUAAGUUAGAACUUGUAACGUUUAAUUUCAUGUAAUCUAAAAUAUGGUUGUGUUAGACUGUUAGUACUAAUCUUCUGGUUUGUUUUUAACUAGCCAAUUACAAAAGAGUUACUCUAGGAGUAAGUGUGAAGUUAAUGCACGUUAGUGAUAGAUCCACG
rnacentral:lncRNA from 1 species